ensembl:lncRNA
CUUAUCACCAUCCCCAGCGCUGAGGAGGUGAGCCCCAUGGAUGCCCGCAGCACACACCACCCACCUCCUUUGAAAUGAGAAGACACGUGGUCACGCGGAAGAAGCUGAAUCAGCCCACUGCAGACAGGCAGGUCUGUGCACACCCUACCAAAGUCCUGAGUCACGAGGAAGAUGCCGAAUCACCCCGCUGCAGACAGGCAGCCACCUGGUUCCACACUACAAAGACGCAGAGGACACCAGACCACCAGACCAAGAUCUGGGUGAAAAAUGGAUCAAUCUUUAUGGAAAGUGGCAUGAAAACUAAACAGCACUCCCAUGACUAAGAGCAGUUGAAGGUGGAAACAUCUGAUAUCGCUUAGGUGCAGCCAUGUCAUGAGCUGUUUCUCCUCUGCCAGAACCCUCUGCCAUGCCAACCUGCCUUGGUGAAGCCAACCAUGGACUAACACCUCUACAAACUAUAAGCCAAAAUAAACCUUUCCAGCCAGGCCUG